CUGCUGGAUAAUGGCUGAACGCCUCUAAGUCAGAAUCCAUGCCAGAACGCGGCGAUACCGCCCGCACGUACAGAUGGACAAGAAUAGGCUCCGGCUUAGCGUCUUAGCAGGCGAUCUGUCCGCGGCGCAGGAAGCGCGCCGCGGUGUUUCGCGUAUUGUAAUUUCAACACGAGCGGGGUCAAAUCCUUUGCAGACGACUUAGCUGUGCGAAACGGUCCUGUGAGCAGUAGAGUAGCCUUGUUGUUACGAUCUGCUGAGGGUCAGCCGUCACUUCGCCUCGAUUUCCCCGACGAUGCCGCUGGGUCUCUCGCUGCGGCGAGGCCCCAGCGUGUCGUGGGGGGGGACUGUGCAGGGGAGGGAGAGGGAGAGGGAGAGGGAGAGCUCGCCCGCCUAGACGGGCGGCGACGACGACGACGAGUACGAGGACGACGAGAUUGCCUCUGCGUCUGCGAGGGCCGAGACGGUGCAGGGUAAGCCGGCUGACUUGGCUUUGACUUUGCUUCCGUCUCUGUUUUCUUCUCAUUCCCCCCUCUGCAAAGGUGAGCGGAUCGGGGCUCGUGGGUGUUUGGUUUGUAUGGGCGGGAGCGCACCUUUUGUUUUUCGCCAUACAAAUCGACGCUUUCGGGACGAGAAAAGUAGGCCGGGUGGGUGUUGGUGGCGGGGCCGCGACGUCGACGAGGUCGGAGGGCCUGCGAGCGGGGGACCUCGCUGGCAGGCAGGCAGGGGCGGGUCAGCGGUCGCCGCGGGGGGGAGGGGGUCUGGGCGCUGGUUCCAGGUAGGUAGAACAAGAAAGGCUGUUAGGAGGCGCGGUGAAGGUAAUGGAUUUAUAGGGGGAAGGGGGCGAAGUUGGCGGUAAGAGGCCCUUACGGGGAGGGAGCUGCCGACCUAGCGGCUGGGGCAGACGCUGUCGGGAGGGGUUGGCGCGCUGCAGGUCACGUGACAUCGGGUAAGUCACGUGGGAUCACAGAAGGAAGACAUAGGGUAGCUCCGAUGUUCUGCUAUGUAGAAGUCACGUGACAUUGGGUAAGUCACGUGGGAUCACAGAAGGAAGACAUAGGGUAGCUCCGAUGUUCUGCUAUGUAGAGGUCACGUGACAUUGGGUAAGUCACGUGGGAUCACAGAAGGAAGACAUAGGGUAGCUCCGAUGUUCUGCUAUGUAGAGGUCACGUGACAUUGGGUAAGUCACGUGGGUAUCUAGAGGUCACGUGACAUUGGGCAAGUCACGUGGGAUUACAGAAGGAAGACAUAGGGUAGCUCUGAUGUUCUCUUAUCUAGAGGUCACGUGAGAAUAAAGGUAUAGGGUAGGCUCUCUGUCCUCUAUUGAUAAGGUAUUAUAGAAGUUGAAUAACCCAAUGUCUUCCGUACUAAAACCGACUUAGAUACGAAAUGGUGGGGGGCGGGGUGGUAUAGGGUAGGUCAGUCGGUGUAGGGUAGGCUUGGGUUGGCUGCGGCGUUAUCCCUCUCCUCGCUGCGCUGGUGGUGCCUGGUGCAUCAGUGCAUUAGUGCAUGCUUGCAGCGCUCGCAGGGUGUGCCGUCGGGCGCUGGUGGUGCCUAGUGCAAUUGGUGCAUGCUUGCAGCGCUCGCAGGGUGUGCCGUCGGGCGCUGGUGUGGUGCGGGGCGGCGCGCGAGGAACUUUCCCCAAAAUCUGCGCUCGUGGGUUUUUCGUUUGUAUGGGCGGGAGCAGACCUUUUUUUUUUGCCAUACAAAUUGAGCGUUUUCGAGAAAAAAAAAAACGCGCGUUGUAUGGUGGGGGCGGGGCCGGAGCGUCGAUGGGGUCGGUGGGUAUGUGAGGGAGGGGCGAUCAGCCCGGACAGCCCUCGGGGUCAGAGGCGAGCAAGCCCUGUGCUGCAGGGCGUGUGAGCGCUGGCUUGUGGGCGAGUACCGCUCCCGACGUACCAUAUCUUGCACGGCGCCUAUAGGUGACUUCUCAAAAGAUCUUGCAGGCUUCCGUCUCGGUUGAGACAGAGUCAUAAUGGGCGCCAAACGUCCCCGAAACUGGUCGCUACGGCUUCACAGCGUACGGGAUAUGCCUGGCUGCAGCAGGGGGCCUCGUGCCCCGUUCCUGCGUGCCGGAUGGGUUCUGUGGGCGAUUGGCCGCUGGGCGGGUUCGCCGUAGACACAGAGCAGCAGGGGCCAACCACGGGCAGCUGACGCCGGAAUGGCUGACGAUGCCCGCUGAGUCCUCCUCCUAGGGCGCCCAGGCCGCACGAACGUGCGCGCCGACGGCGGCCCUGGGGAACGUUAGAGGGGGAAAGCGGAAUGCCUCGGGCGGUCCUGCUGGCCUUUGCAAGCCGGCGCUAAAGGGCCACCCGCCAGGCGCCGCCCGUCCUCGUGGCGGGCGACCACCAGAAAACUAACUCUCUCCAGCGCCGGCCCCCGCGGCGCUGGCAGGCCACCCCCGGCGAACGAUAGUUACCUGGUUGAUUCUGCCAGUAGUCAUAUGCUUGUCUCAAAGAUUAAGCCAUGCAUGUCUAAGUAUAAGCAAUUAUACGGCGAAACUGCGAAUGGCUCAUUAUAUAAGUUAUCGUUUAUUUGAUAGUAUCUUGCUACUUGGAUAACCGUG
rnacentral:misc_RNA from 1 species